rnacentral:snRNA from 1 species
GAAUGUUGGACGGAAGGGUAACGUCUUAACCUCAGGCGCCUCUGAUGAUUUUUCACGGCUGAUUCUACUGAUCUCCACGUCACUGCUGCGCAUGUUUUCUUCCUAAAAUGGCCUGCUUGAUGAAGGAGGCUGAACUUGCCAGACAGAGGAAGACACUUCUUCAGUCAAGGGUGCAUAAAUGUCUGUGCCCCUGCUGGAACUUUUAAGCAAAUUCUAGAAAUGCCUAGGCCGAGGAAAGGUACCAGACACAACCAAUGGAGACACUGUAUUAAGGUAGACUGCCUGUAAUU